AUACUUUCAAAUUCAUCAAACCUUCACUGCAAACUCCUGUUGUACAAGUGGCCGGAUUAAAUAUGAAGACUUUCAUUUUGCUGAUGUGUCUCAUUGGAGUGAGCUUGGCUCUUCCAAUUGACGUUUCUGAGGAAGAGUAUGCACCUUCUUCGCUUACAGCACAUCACCGAGUUGCACGUUCCAGUUCAGAUUCCGAUUCCAGAGAGGCACCACGAAUGCAAAUGCGGGAUAUGAUGCAACUUAUGAGCCUCCUCCAGAGACUACUCCCCCUCAUCCGCCCUGCUCCUGUUCCAGCAACUCCUGCAGCUCGUGUUACAACUGCUCCUAAAGUUCCUGCUACUACCAAAAAAUAACCUGGACGGGAGACCUGCACCAAUCAGGAACUCCAGGAAUCAGUCUGCAGUCUAGACAUAACAUAAAUAGUCUGAAAUCAACUUAGUCUGAUGAUAUCCACCAUGG